UACGGAGGAUGCGAGCGUUAUCCGGAUUUAUUGGGUUUAAAGGGUGCGUAGGCGGCCUUUUAAGUCAGCGGUGAAAGUCUGUGGCUCAACCAUAGAAUUGCCGUUGAAACUGGCUGUCUUGAGAUGUCGAGAGGUAUGCGGAAUGCGCGGUGUAGCGGUGAAAUGCAUAGAUAUCGCGCAGAACCCCGAUUGCGAAGGCAGCCUGCCGGCCCCACACUGACGCUGAGGCACGAAAGCGUGGGUAUCGAACAGG
rnacentral:rRNA from 1 species